rnacentral:rRNA from 1 species
UACAGAGGUCUCAAGCGUUGUUCGGAUUCAUUGGGCGUAAAGGGUGUGUAGGUGGCGCGCUAAGUCGGGUGUGAAAUUUCGGAGCUUAACUCCGAAACUGCAUUCGAUACUGGCGUGCUUGAGGACUGGAGAGGAGACUGGAAUUUACGGUGUAGCAGUGAAAUGCGUAGAUAUCGUAAGGAAGACCAGUGGCGAAGGCGGGUCUCUGGACAUUUCCUGACGCUGAGGCACGAAAGCCCAGGGGAGCAAACGGG